CAUUGGUGGGAUUCAAAUAUUUCGUUUUCCCUCCAACCAAACACACAACUAUCCAUUUGGUCCUCUUGCUCUGAAACAUGAUUUCCAUUUCUCUCUCCACAGAAACCCACCAUUCCUUUCCUCUUGCAGAAGCUCUCACUCUGUUUUGUUUCCAGAUUAAAAGGUGACCUAUUUAAUGCUAUGUCUAGGAGGAGAAAUAUUCAUAAGGUAUUCUCUGCUAAUGGUCACACUGGUAGUCAGUUGUUGCUUACUGAUGUUAAGCCUAACAUACCACCCCUUCUUUUGAGAAUGGCUUCUGACUGUGAAGAUGGAAAAUUCAUAUAUGCACUUGGAGCAUUUAGAUGUCGUGUUGUUUAUGCUAAUGUAUCAUACGAUCGUAAACAUUUUCUUGCCGUUGUUUGUGUUGCUGCCAACUGAAUGUUGUUUGUGUUGCGGUUUUGUAUGCUGAACUUCCAUUUACCACAAUUGAAUGUUCGUUAGGUGAUUUUUCUGGAAUUCAGCCUGCUAAAACAAGUCAGAUUCGAGUAAUUCAAUGUUCGUUGGAUUAUGAUAGAUCUUCGAAGGGAAUUGUCUUUACGGACAGAUUGCCCCUAUCUACCAGGUGAGCAGGUAAACAUAAAUUCAUAGUUGGAAUUUGUUAAAUAUUAGAUUAACAUAGAAUAAAACAAUUAAGCACCUAGGUAGAUGAAAUAUAAAUCUGUCAGCGCCUCGUCGAAGUGUUUUAUGUCUUUAAAGUUAGCAAUAUUACCACAGACUGCGAUUGACUUUGGUGUUUAUUUCAUAUGGAAAUAAAUCAAAUGGGGGAGCUUCUGUUAUCUUAUGGAUUUGUUCCAAAGGAGGGCACAAAUCCAAGCGACUCAGUUGAGCUGCCAUUCUCACUCAAGAAAUCUGAUGAGUCCUAUAAGGAGAAGUUAGAACUGUUGAGGAAGUAUGGAUUAUCAGGAUCUCAGUGUUUUCCGUUAAGGGUCACUGGUUGGCCAUUGGAGUUAAUGGCUUAUGCUUAUUUAGUUGUUAGUCCUUCAAGCAUGAGAGGGAAAUUCGAAGAGGUAUGUCGUUUACUAUCGUAACAAAUUCUUUCUCCGAAUGUUAUAUUAGUAUAACCAUUAGCUAGAUAAAAAGUGAAUUAGUUUCUCUGCGGCAGAAUUCAGCUUGCUAAAAAGUGCAUUUGAAGUGCAGCAUUGCAUUUGUUUUAUGUUUUUCCUUAAGUCUUAGCUAGAUAUUUUUUCGUUAUGCUUUCUUUUAAUAAUUAUAGUAUACUGUUUUACUUUUGCUAUAUUUUUAUUAUAUGAUUAGAAUAUAUCUUCUUCCAUCUUUUUAUCUUUCAUAUCUUCUACAAUUACUCAAUUGUAUCUCUAGCGUUUCUCUUCUAGCUAGAGGUGUAUAUUUAGCGGGUGCGUAUGAGUAAUGCUUGGCUGUUUUUAUUAAGCAACAUGCCGUAGCAUAAGGGAAACCUCAACAUUGAUGUUCAUGCAUCUAAAGAGCAAUUUGUCAAGGAUGAGUCCUUCAGGUUUGUCGACAUGUUCUGAUAGUGCAGUUGAACCAUCACUGACCCCAAUUUCGAUUCUCGAGAGCAGUGAGGAUGCAUUAGACUUGACUUUUAGUCGGAUGGUUUGUGGUUGCGUCAUUGCCAAAGAGAUCAAUUACGGCAUCAGAAAGAAGAAGAGAUGGUAAGUUGAUUGUAUGAAUUUGAAUUGAGUUUUAUGAGAUUCACUUGUGCGUUGAUUUGUUAUGAAUUUCAAAUUGGUCCCUGUCAUUAUGUUUGUGUUAUUUCUGUUUUGUACCGAAAAAUAUCAGAAAUUGUAAAUCCUUAGCUUUGCGGCCAAAUUUUGAUGAUCCAUGGUCGUAAUCCUUUUUGCACUCACUGUUUUAAGCUCUUUUGAUGGCUGAUAACUGUAAAUUUCUGUCCCAAUUAAUAGGGUCUCCAAUGUUGUAUUGCCAAUGCUACUGCAAUCUCCAAUGUUGUAUUGCCAAUGCUAUUGCCAUCAAUUUUUUCUCAAAUGCAGAUUUGGUUAAUUGCGGUCUCUUAAAGCCUUACUGUAAAAAGCAAUACACCAGCCUUGCUGCAAAGGAAUGGCACCCGACCCAUUACCCGGAGCAUCACUUUCGAUUACAAACUCUUGAGUAAAAUAUUUAAGAGCUAGCGUGGGGGCUGUUGUCACCUCCUUAAGAAUCUCAGAGGCUUCUUUCUCCUUAAACUUUACAGGGUGGACACAUUUGCUUCUGAUAAAUUAAUAAUGUUUUUGCUGUUGCCAGUGCAAUUUUAUUAGUUGAAUAAAUACUUUGUUGUGACAUAAGUCAAAAUUUAUAAUUAAUCAUGCUGAUUGCAGUUCAAAUUGUGACUGCCAUUUUUUCUCC